rnacentral:rRNA from 1 species
AGUCCAUCUCACCCUUUGUGCAUCAUCGCGUGGGCACCCUUUGGGAUCACCUCGGAGGGGGCUCAUGUUUUCCACACAAACCCCCCCUUUUAAAAGUGUAGAAUGACCUCAUAUAUGCGCUAACACGCAAUCAAUACAACUUUCAACAACGGAUCUCUUGGCUCUCGCAUCGAUGAAGAACGCAGCGAAAUGCGAUACGUAAUGUGAAUUGCAGAAUUCAGUGAAUCAUCGAAUCUUUGAACGCACCUUGCGCCCCUUGGUAUUCCGGGGGGCACACCCGUUUGAGUGUCGUGAAAACCUCAACCUCCUUGGUUUCUUCUGGAGACCAAAGCAGGCUUGGACUUUGGAGGCCUUUGCUGGCACCUCUGCCAGCUCCUCUUAAACAGAUUAGCAGGGUCCCCUUUGCUGAUCCUUGACGUGUGAUAAGAUGCUUCCAUGUCUUGGUUUCUGGCUCUGUCACUUUUGGGACCCGCUUCUAACCGUCUGGACCUCGCGUCGAGACAAUGUUCGAGCAUGUCUCCCUUCUCGGGAAGCUCCCUUGACCCCCACGAACCCUUGACCUCAAAUCGGGUGAGACUACCCGCUGAACUUAAGCAUAUCAAUAAGCGGAGGAAAAGAAACUAACAAGGAUUCCCCUAGUAACUGCGAGUGAAGCGGGAAAAGCUCAAAUUUAAAAUCUGGUGGCCUUUGGUUGCCCGAGUUGUAAUUUAGAGAAGCGUCUUCCGCG